AUUUUUUGAAUGAUGACUGCAUAGUUCAGAUGAACAACUGAUUACAACCCUUCAUUGUCUUUCGCUCCUAUCUGACCAUUUUU
rfam:Dendroctonus ponderosae Seq01000705, whole genome shotgun sequence.